AGGACGAACGCUGGCGGCGUGCUUAACACAUGCAAGUCGAGCGGAAAGGCCCUUCGGGGUACUCGAGCGGCGAACGGGUGAGUAACACGUGAGUAACCUGCCCUGGACUUUGGGAUAACCCUCGGAAACGGGGGCUAAUACCGGAUAUCUACUGUUGACGGCAUCGUUGGUGGUGGAAAGUUUUUUCGGUCUGGGAUGGGCUCGCGGCCUAUCAGCUUGUUGGUGGGGUGAUGGCCUACCAAGGCGACGACGGGGUAG
rnacentral:rRNA from 1 species